UUGACGUACACGUUUGUUCCAUUAUGAACAUGUUAUGAACAACAAAAUAUUCUAGGAUCAAAUCUCAUCAGAACGUUGAAUUUAAUAAGUUAUAAAAAAUUGAUAUCGUAAAACGACUUCAACAGUUUGUUUCUUCGAUUUAAAAUAUUUUGGUGCCUCCAAUGAAUAUUAUGAGGAAUGAGUUAAAUGCUCAUACUAUAAUAUUAUACUGGUAUGAAAUGAUUUUAAGGAACUUACCUCCCCUUUUGGAUACUGCAAAUCGAUACAUUUCUCUAUAAGAGCGUUUGUUAUUACUCUUGGUUCUCUUUCUUUGCAAGGAUCCAACAUAUUCUAGGUCUCUAAAAAGAAGCACUAAAAAAAUAUAGAUAAGGAAUAUGCGAAGUAAUUUUAUGCUUCCAACUUUGAGGCAAUUUAAAAAAUUAAAUGUAGUAAGAAUUUAGUAUUAAAUAUCGAAGAAAAUUUUAUAUAUUCAGCGUAGAAGGUUAUACGGAAUCCAAAAAUUUAUCACAUGAGUGGAUAUAGACAGAAGAAUUCUAAAGUUGAUAGGGAAAAGGAAAGCAUGAAAUAAGAACAUUCAAAAAUGAGUUUUCGAAGGAAUUUUAUAUUGUAGGAUCUGAUAUUUUAAAAAUAUGAAGAAAAACAAGAACAUGGACUUCAGUGAACUAUCCAGAUAUACAUUUUAAAUUAUACUGAUUCUCUCCCUGUUUUUUUUUUAAUUUCUACUGCUUCAAUGUCUUGAUUUAAAACUGAAUGUCUCACGUAAAAUUUUCAUUUAGCUUCUGUAUGUGUCUACGAUUUUAUAAUUUCAAUUGUUAUAGUUCUUCCACUACAAAAUAUAUGAGAUCUCAA